AAAACCUUAAGUUAAAUAAAACUAUUAACCUUCAAAGUUAAAAAUAUAAUAGCAUAUAUAGGUUUUA
rnacentral:tRNA from 1 species